GACGUAGGGCGCAAGCGUUGUCCGGAUUUAUUGGGCGUAAAGAGCUCGUAGGCGGCUUGCUGCGUCGUCCGUGAAAACCUGUGGCUCAACUACAGGCUUGCGGUCGAUACGGGCGGGCUGGAGUUCGGUAGGGGAGACUGGAAUUCCUGGUGUAGCGGUGAAAUGCGCAGAUAUCAGGAGGAACACCGGUGGCGAAGGCGGGUCUCUGGGCCGAUACUGACGCUGAGGAGCGAAAGCGUGGGGAGCGAACAGG
rnacentral:rRNA from 1 species